GCUCGCCUCCCGCACUCCUCUUUGUCGUGUACAAAAACCAAGGUGUCGAAUUAUUGAGGGAGGCUUCAGAUCGUCCUGGGCAUGGAGAUGAGGCUGGCCAUUAAGGAUGUGGGUGAAGGUCACGUCGUUUCUUCUCCUGGCUCCAAUAUCCACUGCUGAUAUUUUGAGUUCUUUGAUCUGAGAAAGAACCAUGGGAACAAUCUUGCAAAAAUGGAGGAUAUGGAUUUGGGGCGCGAACUGUCCCGACAACGGCGGUGCUGCCUACCAACACCAUGUGCAAGACUGCCUGACUUGUCCUCUAUCUU